UCCUACGGGAGGCAGCAGUGAGGAAUAUUGGACAAUGGGCGAGAGCCUGAUCCAGCCAUGCCGCGUGCAGGAUGACUGCCCUAUGGGUUGUAAACUGCUUUUAUAUAGGAAGAACCCUUUCCAUGCGUGGGAAUUUGACGGUACUAUAUGAAUAAGCACCGGCUAACUCCGUGCCAGCAGCCGCGGUAAU
rnacentral:rRNA from 1 species